AAAGAAUGCCACGGAGAGGUUGUGUCGAGCGACAGCGCUGUGUCCUUACGUGAUUUCUAAACUUAAUAGGGGGGGGGGAUAAUGUAACGAACACGGCAGCGUGGAACUCUGGGAGCUUUUGCGUCAGUCAACCAGGAUUGGUGUGUGGUAGUGAGGAGACACGAUGAUUGGAUAAAGCCACUCCCGCGCCGAAGAACGAGAAGGCAGACCACACAGCAACAAGUAGCAAGGACACCACCCUUCGAGAAGAGGAAAUCGCGGAUACAUCGUGUGGAUGAGAGGCACGGUGCCUAAUGAUAGCAUGUAUGGGGGAAACUCCCGGUGAGAGGGUCAAUGACAGAUGAGGCCUGUGGAGGAAGCCAGUGGGCGGAAGAGUACCGUCGGGUGACACCACGCGGAGGCUCCGGGAGGGAAGCGUGGGACGUAAACUGUCAGUCACGUGGAGAAGACUGUACGGCGUGCUGCAGGGUGGCCGCUAGCAACCAGCUACCCAGCCUGUUUGGGUGGACUCCGACGGUUUUGAAGAAGGAGAGAUGAUCCCAAAACAGAUUAAAAUUGUCAAUAAAACCAACAUUGUGAGCAGGCUGAGGAUUCUGCUGAAGCGCCCUGCUCCACGGGCCAGUGCCGGAAUAGGACCGGAAAUAAAAACACUUUCACACAAGUAUUUAAAAAGCUGAAAAGGUCAAUAAAAUCCUUUUUGGCUAGUUCAGACUGCUGACGAGCUGCAUUAGGGUCCAACGAUGUCGUAUACUGUUGUAUCUUGUACUGAUUCCAAAGCCAUUUGGGACUACA